rnacentral:pre_miRNA from 1 species
GGCCCAAAUCUGAAGUAAGGUAGAUUAGUAAGGUUAGCUGGUCCUCUAUUCUACUGUUCUUCGAAAUUGAGCCC